CCCUCGCCUCUCCUCGUCCGUGGCCGGCCACCCUCGCCUCCAGCUCCUUGCUACCCUGCCUACCUCCUCUCAUCUCGGAGCCGAGAGCUCCCCUGCACCUCCCCCUUUCACCCAACUAGGGUUUGGACCCCGGAUUUGGGCUGAAUCGGGCGGUGGUGCGACGAUGUACCUGGUGGAAGAACCUGUGGACUGACGGCCGAAGCAGAGUGGCUGGUGCCUGGCGAUAAAACAAGCAUCUAUGGCGCAUUCUGGUGCGCCGUCAAAUUCGUAGUUGAGGCUCCCCUUCCAGGCCAGCAAGCAACACAUCGUGGAUCCAUGAAAUCCCACAAGCAUACUAUGUGACUUAAAACUUAAAUAUAUCUUUGGCGAUGAAAACUUAAUUUCUCUGGGUGUUUCAGAGUUGUUGUUAGACCAUCUUUUCAAGCAAGCUAACAAGAUCUAACUGACGAAGCGUGGCCGGACUCUAGUUCCUGCUGUUUGGAGCUGAUGAAAUGGCAGAAAUUUGCUGAAGUUAUUAAUUACAUUUUUUGAUAUCCGAAAGACUGUUGUACUUACGAAAAAGGGUGUAGGCUAAUCUCUUCACUGUAGCAAUGAAAAGAAAUGGUAGUUCUGCAUGUUGCCUACUUUAUGUUUCUGGAAGAGUCACAUUUGGCAGGUUGUUCGUAUUUCUAGCUUGUUAAAUCGGAAGCAUAAUUGAAGCAGCGGUCAGAGAAAACGAAAGAUCAUUAACUUUGAUGUUAAUUUAGCAACCAUAAAUACAGUGUAUGGUAAGAAGUAGCAUCCUCCCUUUUACCCAGAAUACAUGUACUACAUUGUAAUGUUGUAGGUGAUGUCUAAUUACAUUUUUUUAGUUUGUUAUCAAAGUGCUAAUGACUUGCUCAAGUUCAUUAUUAA